UAUUUCUUGGAGAAAAUGGUGCCCGUGUUAUUGAAGGAAAUGAUUUGCUAUGUUUGGUUUAUGUUUCACAAAAGUAGGCACAGGAAAAAAAAGUUGGGGCCAUGAAUACCAUGAGAACUCCAGCUUCAGAAGAGGAAUCUCACAUGCCAACUUUCUUCUGGAUAAUCCCAAUUGGCUGUCGUUGCAGGGGUUUCUAAGUGUGAUGAAAUGCCUACUAGAAGAAGAGUGUGAGACCAAUUGAGAUUGAGGUUGUAUUUCUCCACUCUGAUCUUGAAGAAGGUUCUUUUGGGUGCUUUGUUUUGUACAAGAAUUCUAUUGUGACAGCGUGAUGGUGAUCUCUUUGUCCAGUGAAGAUAAGGAAUGUGCCAUUUUUUUCUUGUAUUUUC